GUGGGGAAUUUUGGACAAUGGGCGCAAGCCUGAUCCAGCAAUGCCGCGUGCAGGAAGAAGGCCUUCGGGUUGUAAACUGCUUUUGUACGGAACGAAACGGUCCGGGUUAAUACCCUGGGCUAAUGACGGUACCGUAAGAAUAAGCACCGGCUAACUACGUGCCAGCAGCCGCGGUAAUACGUAGGGUGCAAGCGUUAAUCGGAAUUACUGGGCGUAAAGCGUGCGCAGGCGGUUUUGUAAGACAGGCGUGAAAUCCCCGGGCUCAACCUGGGAAUUGCGCUUGUGACUGCAAGGCUGGAGUGCGGCAGAGGGGGAUGGAAUUCCGCGUGUAGCAGUGAAAUGCGUAGAUAUGCGGAGGAACACCGAUGGCGAAGGCAAUCCCCUGGGCCUGCACUGACGCUCAUGCACGAAAGCAUGGGGAGCAAACAGGAUUAGAAACCCGGGUAGUCC
rnacentral:rRNA from 1 species